rnacentral:rRNA from 1 species
AUGCCUGCUAUAUACGCUUUGCUUCACGCAUGUUCUCCAUCUCCCUCCGUCACCCUAUCCUAUCCGUCAUCCAUGGCGCUCUCCGAGAAGCCUCUCCUCCUCGCCCUCGCCGUCGUCGCCCUCCUCGUGGCCACCGUCGACGCGCAGCAGGCCACCGACGGUUUCUCCUCGGCGGCGGGCGGCGGUGGGAGGACGCUGCUGGCCAUAGACUGCCCCAAGGCGUGCGAGGCGCGGUGCGGGAAGAACUGGAAGAACGAGAUGUGCAACAAGAUGUGCAACAUCUGCUGCGGCAAGUGCAGCUGCGUCCCCUCCGGCACCGGCCAGGACACCCGCAACGAGUGCCCCUGCUACGCCAACAUGAAGAACACCAAGAACGGCAAGCCCAAAUGCCCCUAA